AUGUCGAUUCCAUUCUCCAAUACCCACUACUGAAUUCUGCAAGGAUUUGGGAGUCUUCUUAAAGAGCUGACCCACGAGAUUCUGAGAGAGCAACCAGAUAAUAUACAGCUUUUGCAGCAGCAUAUUUUGACAGCUUUCCAGAGAAAAGAGAGAAAACCACUUUUGAUCCAGCAGAAUGGGGGACUCAGGUAGAAGACUGCUUCUAGAACAGUCAUGCAUUCGAGGAGCAAGAACCACCUGAGAAAUGUGAUCCUAAACAAGAAAACUCUCCAAUAUCUGGGAAGGAGAAAGAGACACCAGUCACCAUCUUAGACUCUUCUGAGGAAGAUAAGGAAAAAGAAGAGGUUGCUGCUGUCAAAAUCCAGGCUGCCUUCUGGGGACACACAGCCAGAGAGGAGGUAAAGAGAAUGGAAACAGAUAGUCUCCGACAUGAGGAAACAGAGGAAUACAAG
rnacentral:lncRNA from 1 species